CGUAUUCAAAUUUGUUACACUUUGUCCUUGUUUCCUACGUACUACUUCUCCUAUAAAUACAACACCAAAAUAAAACAAAACAAAACUCCACAGAAUCUAUCAAUCAACAGAAGCUAGAAGAAGAAGCAAAAAUGAAGGCAUCCAUGUUAGUCACUACCUUACUGCUCUGUUUCUUGGCCGCAAUAGCCAGUGCUCAAAACUGCGGCAGGCAAGCCGGCGGCCAAACCUGCGCCAACAACCUCUGCUGCAGCCAAUAUGGUUACUGUGGGACCACCGACGACCACUGCUCCCCUUCC
rnacentral:lncRNA from 1 species